CCACACUGGAACUGAGACACGGUCCAGACACCUACGGGUGGCAGCAGUCGAGAAUUUUUCACAAUGGGCGCAAGCCUGAUGGAGCGACGCCGCGUGGGGAUGAAGGGCUUCGGCUCGUAAACCCCUGUCAUUUGCGAACAAGGGCGCCAACCUAACAUGUUGUCGCUUGAUAGUAGCAGAAGAGGAAGGGACGGCUAACUCUGUGCCAGCAGCCGCGGUAAUACAGAGGUCCCAAGCGUUGUUCGGAUUCACUGGGCGUAAAGGGUGCGUAGGUGGCGAUUUAAGUCGGGUGUGAAAUCUCCGGGCUCAACCCGGAGGGUGCGCCCGAAACUGAGUUGCUAGAGGAUGGGAGGGGAGACUGGAAUUCUCGGUGUAGCAGUGAAAUGCGUAGAUAUCGAGAGGAACACCGGUGGC
rnacentral:rRNA from 1 species